CACGAUGUAUGCGCGAGUUGGCACGUAGACCACUAGCUAGCCGAGCGCCUUGAGAGAUGCAGUGCGUCGGGUGUAACGCACAGGCAGCGCCUGUGAAAAACUGGCGCACAAGUGAAGAUUAAAAGGAGAUUAUGUGUAUAAACAUGUAUGUUAAAUGUCAAGAAAGAGUCGUUAAGUCGAGUAAGUUAUAAAAUUGCAACACAUACAUAUGUACUACAUACAUACAGACAUUUGUGUAGAUAUGUACCACAACUAUAGGUAUGUAAGUGUAUGUAAUUUUGCUGUACAAUGUUGUGUUUUAUUGUCGUUUUGUUUUUUAUUAUUCGUAGGCACGUCUCUGGCAUAUUUGCACACACUGUAUUUAGUAUAGAAUUUUUGAGUAACGACAUUUUUAUUUAGCGCACAACAACAAAUAACCAAAAGAGUGUAAAAAAUACUGUGCGAUAAGAUUACUCGGUGUAACUUAAGAAAGAAAAAAUAAAAUAAAA